rnacentral:rRNA from 1 species
UACGGGGGGAGCAAGCGUUGUUCGGAUUUACUGGGCGUAAAGGGCGCGUAGGCGGCGCAACAAGUCACUUGUGAAAUCUCCGGGCUUAACCCGGAGCGGCCAAGUGAUACUGUCGUGCUAGAGUGCGGAAGGGGCUACUGGAAUUCUCGGUGUAGCGGUGAAAUGCGUAGAUAUCAAGAGGAACACCUGAGGUGAAGACGGGUUGCUGGGCUGACACUGACGCUGAGGCGCGAAAGCCAGGGGAGCGAACGGG